rnacentral:misc_RNA from 1 species
GGUGGCCCGAGAAGAUCCAGGACUUGUAAGCAAAACACAGACAAAGACAAUUCACACAAGGAAGCCACUGCUUAUCCUAGACCAUCUGCAUCUGCUCUCUUCACAUAAGUUUGGGUCUCCAGAAAAACAAACAUAACGAAAAUGAAAACCCGACGAGGUGAUCUGAGAGAGAGCAGGGAAGAAACCCGGUUGUAUAGUGUUCUUAUUUCCACUAAUGCAUACUUAAAUUGCUACAUGGGAA